AAUAAUGCAAGUCCGAGCGGACAGAUGGGAGCUUGCUCCCUGAUGUUAGCGGCGGACGGGUGAGUAACACGUGGGUAACCUGCCUGUAAGACUGGGAUAACUCCGGGAAACCGGGGCUAAUACCGGAUGGUUGUUUGAACCGCAUGGUUCAAACAUAAAAGGUGGCUUCGGCUACCACUUACAGAUGGACCCGCGGCGCAUUAGCUAGUUGGUGAGGUAACGGCUCACCAAGGCAACGAUGCGUAGCCGACCUGAGAGGGUGAUCGGCCACACUGGGACUGAGACACGGCCCAGACUCCUACGGGAGGCAGCAGUAGGGAAUCUUCCGCAAUGGACGAAAGUCUGACGGAGCAACGCCGCGUGAGUGAUGAAGGUUUUCGGAUCGUAAAGCUCUGUUGUUAGGGAAGAACAAGUACCGUUCGAAUAGGGCGGUACCUUGACGGUACCUAACCAGAAAGCCACGGCUAACUACGUGCCAGCAGCCGCGGUAAUACGUAGGUGGCAAGCGUUGUCCGGAAUUAUUGGGCGUAAAGGGCUCGCAGGCGGUUUCUUAAGUCUGAUGUGAAAGCCCCCGGCUCAACCGGGGAGGGUCAUUGGAAACUGGGGAACUUGAGUGCAGAAGAGGAGAGUGGAAUUCCACGUGUAGCGGUGAAAUGCGUAGAGAUGUGGAGGAACACCAGUGGCGAAGGCGACUCUCUGGUCUGUAACUGACGCUGAGGAGCGAAAGCGUGGGGAGCGAACAGGAUUAGAUACCCUGGUAGUCCACGCCGUAAACGAUGAGUGCUAAGUGUUAGGGGGUUUCCGCCCCUUAGUGCUGCAGCUAACGCAUUAAGCACUCCGCCCUGGGGAGUACGGUCGCAAGACUGAAACU
rnacentral:rRNA from 1 species